rnacentral:miRNA from 1 species
CAGCUCUGGAAACCUGGAUUCAGCCCCCGCAGUAACUCUGGAGCUCUCCGUCUGCAGGGCCUGGAGGCUCCGGGGCGGGGCCGCUGAUCUGCUCAGCUCGGGGCAGGAGCGUC